GUGUAACGAAAUGUGGCUUAGUUCGCGAACACAGAAGUGCCAGAAGAUAGCUUGUGUCUCUCUGAAACUCGCCAUAUGCGUGGCGUGCCAGGCAAAUGGGGACCAACGAUUUUCAUGCCCUGGAGUGCGUUCUCUUUUGUGUCUGGUUGCGGGAAGUUCGCUGGACGUCGCAAAGAAAUAAUGUGUAUUAUUAGCGUGCCUCAGCUCGUCCACUACGUAACGGCGUGUAGACUGGGAGUCGACGCAGCACCGGCAACUUGGAGAGCGCUUUUCGACCGCGUCGUACCAUUCAAAAGUGGCGAGGCCGUAACCCACACCAGUGUCCACAUAAUGGAGGAGCCAGCAGAAAUGCAGGGAAACCUUGAAUGACUGCCAUAGCGCAGUGUGUAAUCUGAUUGCUUGGUUCAGGUACACCUAGCAAAUGUAUACAUUGACGAGGAGUGGCACCUGCUCUAGUGCCAUGGCUAGGACUCCCUGUUCUGCAAAGAACUGGCAAAACUGGUGUGCGGAGUUCUGGCACUCAGGAUAGGAGCAUCACAGGGGCUCUUUGGUGGUGCUUCCUGAACGACCGCAAUUUCAUUGAGAAGCCGGCAUUGAGCGUCCAUAAAUUGGAAGCUGUGGACAGUAUCAUCGACAUUGUUUCAAAUUUGUUUGUGUAAUGUUUGUAACAAUACAUGUAUUACAGUGAAAUGAUUAAUUUUCCAGAUGCACUUGAUGCAUAUCUUUCGAGAUGUGGUGCCCCUGAGGAGGAGAAAUCGCGGUGCUCAAAAUGGACCGUAGCCUAGCAGACAUGCUGAGAGAAAUUAAGUAAGCGUGUAAUUGCAAACAUGUGUACAUGCAGUAAACCUCAUUAAUUUGAACUCGUGGGGGCCAUGCGAAAUGUCAGGACUAAGCAAACGCAACCAAAAUGGUUUAAAAUAUAUAUUUAUGUUUCGGCUUCCCACGGGAGCCUUGUUCACAAUGAAACCAGCAGCAGAGUAGGUAACGUUCUUAUCUGCAGCUCAAAACAUGAUUAAGGUACUUGGCAUACAUGGACAUGGAUGAUUAGAGAUUCAAGAUAAAGACGCGUAAAAUGAUUUCAUUCCUUAACAAUCAAGCGAUAUUUUUCCUAGCUAAUUGUGACGUAGUUGCGCAGUGCUUGGCCAGGGCAUUCGAUGCAAAGUAUCGUUUCUGGACAUCAUUCCUGUGCUGUUUAAGUCCUUUUUUGGAGUUGCCGGUUUCUCCGAUGUAGACGUACCGACAGUUCGCACACCGAACGACCUACACUACGCCUGGGAACUUGCCCUUUUCCGAACGGUCUUUCACAUGCAUGAGCUCGUGUUUACGUUUUGGAACGUGCACAGCCUGCACAUCAUAUGACCACAACGCAUGCAAGGGUCUCGCUUAUGCAGGGGACCUAUGGUAUUGAAGCCCA